rnacentral:lncRNA from 1 species
UAUCCAUGCUCUACGUUUUAUUGCAGAUAUAGGUAGACAGUCAUUAUUUCUGACACUUUCUCAGCAUUACAAGGAGUACUCUAGGGGGAAAACUAGUGUACGGUGUUACAGAAAUAGAUUGAUAUAACCACAUAGAAACCAGUUACUUUACUGAGCCAUUGUAACCAAUACAAUAUUCCCUUAAUGACAUUAAACAGUCACCUAGAUUCCAAAUUCAGUGUAGGACUCCUAUCUAAAAACAACCUCAGUUAUCUACAAAUUAAGUUGCCAAGAGGGAAAUUUAUUUUUUUCAUCAUACAAUGGUUUACAAGAAAUAUAUUCCUGAAUGACAAUAAUUUUUUUUAGCAUUCAAGUUUAUUAUUAUUUAGGGGACAUUAAAACAAGACAAUGGUCAACAGCAAUCACUUUAUGGCACUUGUGGGGCAUUAGAAAUCAGUAUAUUGAGAAGCCUCCGCUUAAGAGGACUUGGAGUGGUUACUGUACAGUAGAUACUAGUGUCACAUAAAUUGCAAUAACAUGAUUUAUCAUACAGAAGAGGUGU